GCUACCGCCUGGCUCACGAUUUAACAGUGUAGCUCUUCGGUUAGCGCAGCACAGAGGAUAACGGUGCACGACGACAUCACUAAUUCAAGCUAUGUCUUAGUUGCAUAUGAAGAGUUUCAUGUUUAGGGGAGCCAUGGAAGGCAUGAAUUCUACGAGCUGUUACUUCAAGCCAUGGUGUCAGGAUAUAAGAGGAAUUAUGUCCACUUUAAUUAAAGCAUUUUCUUUUAAGUGCUUUUUAUAUUAAAGAAAUCAAUAUUACAGCAAACGGAUACAUACCAGAAUUUC